rnacentral:ncRNA from 1 species
UGGUUUGAAAAAAUCUGAGAACAUACCCGUAGAACCUGAUUCAGGUAAUGCUGGCGAAGGAAUAAAACUAACCCUAAUA